ACGGGUGAGUAAUGCCUAGGAAUCUGCCUGGUAGUGGGGGACAACGUCUCGAAAGGGACGCUAAUACCGCAUACGUCCUACGGGAGAAAGUGGGGGAUCUUCGGACCUCACGCUAUCAGAUGAGCCUAGGUCGGAUUAGCUAGUUGGUGAGGUAAUGGCUCACCAAGGCGACGAUCCGUAACUGGUCUGAGAGGAUGAUCAGUCACACUGGAACUGAGACACGGUCCAGACUCCUACGGGAGGCAGCAGUGGGGAAUAUUGGACAAUGGGCGAAAGCCUGAUCCAGCCAUGCCGCGUGUGUGAAGAAGGUCUUCGGAUUGUAAAGCACUUUAAGUUGGGAGGAAGGGUUGUAGAUUAAUACUCUGCAAUUUUGACGUUACCGACAGAAUAAGCACCGGCUAACUCUGUGCCAGCAGCCGCGGUAAUACAGAGGGUGCAAGCGUUAAUCGGAAUUACUGGGCGUAAAGCGCGCGUAGGUGGUUUGUUAAGUUGAAUGUGAAAUCCCCGGGCUCAACCUGGGAACUGCAUCCAAAACUGGCAAGCUAGAGUAGGGCAGAGGGUGGUGGAAUUUCCUGUGUAGCG
rnacentral:rRNA from 1 species